rnacentral:rRNA from 1 species
AAUAGAUACCCAGGUAGUCCACGCCGUAAACGAUGAAUACUAGGUGUAGGGGUUGUCAUGACCUCUGUGCCGCCGCUAACGCAUUAAGUAUUCCGCCUGGGGAGUACGGUCGCAAGAUUAAAACUCAAAGGAAUUGACGGGGGCCCGCACAAGCAGCGGAGCAUGUGGUUUAAUUCGAAGCAACGCGAAGAACCUUACCUAGACUUGACAUCUCCUGCAUUACCCUUAAUCGGGGAAGUUCCUUCGGGAACAGGAAGACAGGUGGUGCAUGGUUGUCGUCAGCUCGUGUCGUGAGAUGUUGGGUUAAGUCCCGCAACGAGCGCAACCCUUAUUGUUAGUUGCUACCAUUUAGUUGAGCACUCUAGCGAGACUGCCCGGGUUAACCGGGAGGAAGGUGGGGAUGACGUCAAAUCAUCAUGCCCCUUAUGUCUAGGGCUACACACGUGCUACAAUGGCAAGUACAAAGAGACGCAAGACCGUGAGGUGGAGCAAAACUCAAAAACUUGUCUCAGUUCGGAUUGUAGGCUGAAACUCGCCUACA